rnacentral:sRNA from 1 species
UCUUACGCAGCCCGACUUGAGCGGAAAUCCUUUUUUGCAUUAACUAAAGUUCUAUUGAUUAUAAAAUCGUCUUGCAAAAAAGAUUGGGAGCGGAAGGCGGAAAAGCUG